AAUGAAGUGCCAAGAGAUGUGUUUGUUUCGCUUUCUCAAGAUAAUCUUGUUUGAGAUUUUCCAAAACGUUUCUUCCACUUCCAUAGCUAUGUCGAUUCAAUUCCUAAACUGUACUAAAAUCCAGCAAAACACAUGCCUAAAAACCACUCAUAAUUUUGCAAUACCAACUGUUCUAUCAGCCCUAAAUUCAGGUAUUGAUGGAGUCAAGUAAUGGGAUGGUAGGCUAGUCCUUGCGUACAAUACAGACUCGAGAGGUGUGCUCAAAGUAGGAGUUUCUUUUAGACGACGGUGAUUGCUGGACUGAUGUUUUGACGUUGGAAAAAAACAACGUUGGAGGAGUCUUCGGGAAUGGAGUUUUCGUAUCCCGCAGUUAUACAAGCCGGAGAGAGAAAUGUUCACGUCCCUUAUACAUAUAACAAGACAGAUUUAGGUAAAUUAAGACAGGAUUAUAUGAGUUUGUUUCUUUUUUGGUUUUUAUUCAAUCACUUUGUGUGCUCUCUGCACGGCAGCAUGUCGUGCUCAAGACUGCGAUUCCGAGGCCAUACUGGGAACACGGUAAACUAUAAGGAGGACACGAGGACGUAGAUUAAGUACGAACUAACUUUAGUUAAGUAGCAAAUUGGGUCGAGUUUGUGUAUGAACCAUGGAUGUGGAAUGUAACAUUUUUCUUAGGGAAGAACAAAGAUUGUUUCUC